GGGAGGAGCGCAGAGAGGCGGAGACAGAUUUAAACCAAGCCUGACGGUUGCGUCUGUUUGCUAGUACUGUGAGAAAAUGUCGUUUCAGAAGAGGUCUGGAUGCUAAACCAAAACCUGGACCUCCUUUAGUGUUGAACACCAGUGAGAUUGGACGCUGAACACACCUGCAGCGUGAAGGUGUCACCACUUCAUCCACAAGAUCAUCCACGAUCACAGAGACAUGGUCCAUGAUCAGAGAGACCUUGUCAAAGAUGAGAGAGACGUUGUCCAUGAUCAGAGACAUUGUCCCAUGCUUCGUAGAGACCUUGCGAUAGAAUCGGCGGAGACGGGGGUCACCGAUUUGACGGCACUGCCCGCGAUCAUGGAGACAUUGUCAAUGAUCACAGAGACAGCGUCUAUGAUCUCAGAGACAUCGUCCACGAUCACAAAGACAUUGUACAUGAUCGCAGAGACUUUGUCCGCAAUCACAGAAACGUAGCCUACGAUCACAGAGUCUUUGACAAUUAAGUUGUUCUUUCAGACCAAGACAGAGGCCUCCAGAUGUCACCACUUCAUCCCUGAUCACAGACAGUCUUUGUGUAAUGAAAAAAUUCUUUGAAACCAGGACUGGGGCCUCCAGGAUUCAAGCUUCAACCAUUAAAUCACAGAGAGAAGAGACAGACAUCAAGACGUUCCCAGAAGGUCUUCAGCUGCUGUCGUCUUCUCCUCCUGCAGAGACAAGAACAUGUGUUAGUCCCAUUUUUGGACAUAUUUUUAUGCCUUACUAUACUAUGACGUGUGGCUUAUGACAAAGGAACUAUCUUAAAGCAGUGAUCUUACCAUUGUUUUCCACAGACAUACACCUCUACACAGUGUUUGUGCUCAUCAUUUCAUUUUGGUAUUGCUAUUUCAAACAGUGCAGUAUCAGUACUCCAAUCUAUUACUGUGUACAUAGUCCUGUUUAUAUUGUUAUACAUUACCUUAUUUUAUGUCUUGUCUUGUUUGUAUUAUGCCUUUUUCUAUUUUUGCUGCUGCAACACUGAAUUAUCUUACUCAAAUAAAUACUUCUGAACACUGAA